rnacentral:rRNA from 1 species
UACGGAGGGUGCAAGCGUUGUUCGGAAUUAUUGGGCGUAAAGCGCGUGUAGGCGGCUAUUUAAGUCUGAUGUGAAAGCCCGGGGCUUAACCGUUGAACUGCUUGGGAAACUGGUAGCCUAGAGUGAGGGAGAGGCAGAUGGAAUUGGUGGUGUAGGGGUAAAAUCCGUAGAUAUUAGGAGGAACACCAGUGGCGAAGGCGACUUACUGGACUGUAACUGACGCUGAGGCACGAAAGCGUGGGGAGCAAAC